rnacentral:sRNA from 1 species
AGCCCCGAGAGUCGGGAGGCUCUAAACAA